rnacentral:rRNA from 1 species
AUUGAACGCUGGCGGCAGGCCUAACACAUGCAAGUCGAACGAGUGGCGGAGGGGUGAGUAAUGUCUGGGAACCUCCUUGAUGGAGGGGGAUACUUCCUGGAACCGGUGGCUAUUACCGCAUACCUUACGCUGUGCCAUGAUGGGAUUAGCUUGUGGGUGGGGUAACGGCUCACCAAGGCGACGAUCCCUAGCUGGUCUGAGAGGAUGACCAGCCACACUGGAACGGAGACACGGUCCAGACGCCUACGGGAGGCAGCAGUGGGGAAUAUUGCACAAUGGGCGCAAGCCUGAUGCAGCCAUGCCGCGUGUAUGAAGAAGGCCUUCGGGUUGUAAAGUACUUUCAGCGGGGAGGCGUUACCCGCAGAAGAAGCACCGGCUAACUCCGUGCCAGCAGCCGCGGUAAUUC